rnacentral:lncRNA from 1 species
CCUCCCGAUAUUUCUCCUCCCGUUCUGUUGCCACUUGAAGAUGUUUGACAACAACAACUUUGUCGAUAUUCGCAGCCGCAACCUUAUUGGCCCAUGAUCGACGAAGGUCCAUGAUCACUCCGUACCCUCUCUCUAGUGCUGACAUAUCAUGCACUAGCUGAAAAGAAGAAGAGAAGAGUUUUAAAAAAAAAGCAAGUAUAAGAAAGAUGGAGGAUGGAGUACCAACUUACAUUGAGGAUCGUCAGAUAAUAUAAUGAGAACAUGUCGGACACGGUCUAACUCUUUCUGUUAUCCCUAUC